rnacentral:lncRNA from 1 species
AUGGCCCCAGCUGUCUGCCAGGGCUCAGCCGGGCCUGCUGUACCACGUGUCAGCCCUGCACCACCCCCUACGGGCCCACUCCCAGGGAGAAGGGGGGCCCACAGGGAGAGGUCUGCUCACGGCGGCCAAGCCCGGCCCUGGGCCUCCCCGGCACCUCACCUGGCGUCUCUUUCUUUCCGCAGUGAACUUCGACCACUUCCAGAUCCUGCGUGCCAUCGGGAAGGGCAGCUUUGGCAAGGUGUGCAUCGUGCAGAAGCGGGACUCGGAGAAGAUGUACGCCAUGAAGUACAUGAGCAAGCAGCAGUGCAUCGAACGCGACGAGGUCCGCAACGUCUUCCGGGAGCUGCAGAUCCUGCAGGGGCUGGAGCACGUCUUCCUGGUCAACCUCUGGUGAGGCCUCGGCCGCCGCGGGGAGGGCGGGCGGCGCGCCAGACCCCGCGUGGCCCCUGCAGGCGGCGGGAGGCUGGCCUCUUCCUCUCCAGGGUCCUCCGGCCUCUGGCGGUGGGCUCUGCUCUGGGUGCACGCACGGCGGGUGUUCCCGAGGGGCCCCGGCCAGCGGCUCCUGGGCCCUGCCAGCCACCUGGGCGCACCCGGCAGGAAGGGGCUUCCCGGUGCACGGUGGCCACAUCCGGAAGCCGCACACGGCUCUUGAACGCUGCCAGUGGCUCCCUCCGUGGCGACAGGGCCCUCACCCUUCCUGGGCUCCAUGUGGACAUGGGGGUGCUGGAGCACACGGAGCAGGCAGCAGCCCUGCCCCCCCGCGCGACCUCAUCCUGUCCCUCCCUCGCGGCCCCCUAGUCCCCAGGGGACAGCAUGCAUCUCAGUGGGCAGUGGUUCCACAGGUAGGGGUGCUCCCUUCAACCUGUCCCACUGCUGGGCGGCCAGGAGGGCAGGGCUGGCCCACAGCCUCCCUGCAGUCGCCAGGCUGGGGUGGCGCGGGCACGGCGCCCUCCGUGACGGACGCUCGCUUCCUGCACGGAAGGAGGACCAGACUUCCUCUCUGGGGCCUCAGAGCAGCCCCGGCCCUGCCGGCCUCACUAGGAGGCAAGGCGACCUUGCAGGCAGACGCAAGGGCUUCUGGGUGGACC